rnacentral:rRNA from 1 species
AGCGAACGCUGGCGGCAGGCCUAACACAUGCAAGUCGAACGGAUCCUUCGGGAUUAGUGUCGGACGGGUGAGUAACACGUGGGAACGUGCCCUUUGGUUCGGAACAACUCAGGGAAACUUGAGCUAAUACCGGAUGUGCCCUUCGGGGGAAAGAUUUAUCGCCAUUGGAGCGGCCCGCGUCUGAUUAGCUAGUUGGUGAGGUAACGGCCCACCAAGGCGACGAUCAGUAGCUGGUCUGAGAGGAUGAUCAGCCACACUGGGACUGAGACACGGCCCAGACUCCUACGGGAGGCAGCAGUGGGGAAUCUUGCGCAAUGGGCGAAAGCCUGACGCAGCCAGGCCGCGUGAAUGAUGAAGGUCUUAGGAUUGUGAAAUUCUUUCAGCGGGGACGAUAAUGACGGUACCCGCAGAAGAAGCUCCGGCUAACUUCGUG